rnacentral:rRNA from 1 species
AUUGAACGCUGACGGCACGCCUAACACAUGCAAGUCGAGCGGCAGCGCGAUAUGUAGCAAUACAUAUUGGCGGCGAGCGGCGGACGGGUGAGGAACACGUAGGAACCUACCCUCGAGUGGGGGAUAACCAAGGGAAACUUUGGCUAAUACCGCAUGAACUCGAGAGAGCAAAGCUGCCGCAAGGUGGCGCUCGAGGAGGGGCCUGCGUCUGAUUAGCUAGUUGGUGAGGUAAGAGCUCACCAAGGCGAUGAUCGGUAACUGGUCUGAGAGGACGACCAGUCACACUGGGACUGAGACACGGCCCAGACUCCUACGGGAGGCAGCAGUGGGGAAUAUUGGACAAUGGGGGCAACCCUGAUCCAGAGAUGCCGCGUGAGUGAAGAAGGCCUUCGGGUCGUAAAGCUCUUUAGGUUGGGAAGAAGGGUGAUGGAGGAAAUGCUAUCACUUUGACGGUACCGACAGAAUAAGCACCGGCAAACUCUGUGCCAGCCGCCGCCGUAAAAC